CGAACGCUGGCGGCGUGCUUAACACAUGCAAGUCGAACGGAAAGGCCCUGCUUUUGUGGGGUGCUCGAGUGGCGAACGGGUGAGUAACACGUGAGUAACCUGCCCUUGACUUUGGGAUAACUUCAGGAAACUGGGGCUAAUACCGGAUAGGAGCUCCUGCUGCAUGGUGGGGGUUGGAAAGUUUCGGCGGUUGGGGAUGGACUCGCGGCUUAUCAGCUUGUUGGUGGGGUAGUGGCUUACCAAGGCUUUGACGGGUAGCCGGCCUGAGAGGGUGACCGGCCACAUUGGGACUGAGAUACGGCCCAGACUCCUACGGGAGGCAGCAGUGGGGAAUAUUGCACAAUGGGCGGAAGCCCGAUGCAGCAACGCCGCGUGCGGGAUGACGGCCUUCGGGUUGUAAACCGCUUUCGCCUGUGACGAAGCGUGAGUGACGGUAAUGGGUAAAGAAGCACCGGCUAACUACGUG
rnacentral:rRNA from 1 species